UUCGGGUGGAACAAGAUUGACUGAGCGGCGCCCUUGUGAGUAACGCGUGGGUGACCUGCCUCAUACAGGGGGAUAACAGUUAGAAAUGACUACUAAUACCGCAUAAGCGCACAGUGCUGCAUGGCACAGUGUGAAAAACUCCGGUGGUAUGAGAUGGACCCGCGUCUGAUUAGGUAGUUGGUGGGGUAACGGCCCACCAAGCCGACGAUCAGUAGCCGACCUGAGAGGGUGACCGGCCACAUUGGGACUGAGACACGGCCCAAACUCCUACGGGAGGCAGCAGUGGGGAAUAUUGGACAAUGGGGGAAACCCUGAUCCAGCGACGCCGCGUGACUGAAGAAGUAUUUCGGUAUGUAAAGGUCUAUCAGCAGGGAAGAAAAUGACGGUACCUGACUAAGAAGCCCCGGCUAACUACGUGCCAGCAGCCGCGGUAAUACGUAGGGGGCAAGCGUUAUCCGGAUUUACUGGGUGUAAAGGGAGCGUAGACGGCGAUGCAAGUCUGGAGUGAAAGCCCGGGGCUCAACCCCGGGACUGCUUUGGAAACUGUGUUGCUAGAGUGCAGGAGAGGUAAGUGGAAUUCCUAGUGUAGCGGUGAAAUGCGUAGAUAUUAGGAGGAACACCAGUGGCGAAGGCGGCUUACUGGACUGUAACUGACGUUGAGGCUCGAAAGCGUGGGGAGCAAACAGGAUUAGAUACCCUGGUAGUCCGCGCCGUAAACGAUGAAUACUAGGUGUUGGGGAGCAAAGCUCUUCGGUGCCGUCGCAAACGCAGUAAGUAUUCCACCUGGGGAGUACGUUCGCAAGAAUGAAACUCAAAGGAAUUGACGGGGACCCGCACAAGCGGUGGAGCAUGUGGUUUAAUUCGAAGCAACGCGAAGAACCUUACCAAGUCUUGACAUCGGAAUGACCGGUCCGUAACGGGGCCUUCCCUUCGGGGCAUUCCAGACAGGUGGUGCAUGGUUGUCGUCAGCUCGUGUCGUGAGAUGUUGGGUUGAGUCCCGCAACGAGCGCAACCCUUAUCCUUAGUAGCCAGCAGGUAGAGCUGGGCACUCUGGGGAGACUGCCAGGGAUAACCUGGAGGAAGGUGGGGAUGACGUCAAAUCAUCAUGCCCCUUAUGAUUUGGGCUACACACGUGCUACAAUGGCGUAAACAAAGGGAAGCGAAGCCGUGAGGUGAAGCAAAUCCCAAAAAUAACGUCUCAGUUCGGAUUGUAGUCUGCAACUCGACUACAUGAAGCUGGAAUCG
rnacentral:rRNA from 1 species